GGCUCGGGGCCUCCCGACACCGGCCCUGGCUGAGGUAGUAGUUUGUGCUGUUGGUCGGGUUGUGACAUUGCCCGCUGUGGAGAUAACUGCGCAAGCUACUGCCUUGCUAGUGCUGGUGACGCUCAGCGCCGCGGAGG
rnacentral:precursor_RNA from 15 species